rnacentral:misc_RNA from 2 species
AACGCAUAUUGCGCCCUUUGGCAUUCCGAAGGGCAUGCCUGUUCGAGCGUCAUUAUCACCCCUCAAGCCCCGGCUUGGUGUUGGGCUCCCGGUGGUCGUACCCGACCACCCGCCUCAAAGAUAGUGACGGCGUCCCAGAGGGAACUGGUACGAGGAGCUUUCACGAGCAUGUACGCGGGACGACUCUGCGGGCGACGGUCUUUUUUAACUUAAUAAAGUGUUGACCUCGAAUCAGGUAGGAAUACCCGCUGAACUUAA